UACAGAGGCCCCAAGCAUUAUCCGGAUUUACUGGGCGUAAAGGGUGCGUAGGCGGCUAUAUUAGUCGGGUGUUAAAUCCUGGGGCUCAACCCCAGAAUCGCAUUCGAAACGGUAUAGCUAGAAGGAUUCAGAGGCAAGCAGAACUCACGGUGUAGGGGUGAAAUCCGUUGAUAUCGUGAGGAAUACCAAAGGCGAAGGCAGCUUGCUGGGACUUUCUUGACGCUGAGGCACGAAAGCGUGGGUAGCAAAUCGG
rnacentral:rRNA from 1 species